UUGCCUCAAACGCAUCUUAUCGAACCUACUCCAUCUCCAGCUAGGGUUUCUUCUUCACCUUUUCCUUUUUUCUUCAAUCCAAUUCCAAUGGCCGAUGAAUCCCAAUACGACGCUACUCCACCCUCCCUCAAACGCAAGUACGACGAACCACCUCCUCAUUCCAGACCCACCGGUUUCUCCGAAGGCCCUCCUCCUCCUUCCUACAAUAACGUCCCUUCCCUAGCCACCACCGAAUUCGAUAAUAAUGCCUGAAAUCCAGAGUUGUUCCUCAUAAUCAGAAUCAGCAGAAGUAAGACCCAACAAUAGGUCAAAUUCCGAUGCUUCUGAAACGACUUCGUAUAGUUUUUCCCAAUUUCAAAAACCUAACCCUAAAAAUAAGGGAAUAGUGUGCAAACGACGGAACCCUAGAGUUACUGUUCGCCGCGCAAGGGCUAAUAAUGCUGCCGCCAUUGGUUUUCUUAUGGAAUGUCGUUCGCCGCUGUUAUGGCUCAGGUGUCUGGAAUCACCUUUGGCUCUCGCUAAUGUGAAGCCGGACACAUUAAAACAAUCAAUUCUAGUAAGUUUUAUUUUAUUUUAAUUUCUACACAGUUGUUUAUUGAUCCUUGUCAUGAAAAGCAUUUGUUUUUGUUUUUAGGUGUUGUAUAAAAGAGAUGUUGCAGCUGAUAGUAUGUCUCCCAGUCAUCUUUCGUUUGUAAUUUUAUUCACUGAUUUUAACAAGUUUUGUUUCUGGCCUGUGCAGAUAUUCAUUGUUACAAUGAAUUUGAUUCAUUUAUAUGGUAAAUCAAUUGCAAUUGGCAGAUCAUUAAAAACGUUUGACUCAAAUCUACUUCUAUUGCGAUUUUGGCAGAUCAUUUUCUCUCCUAUUUGUUUGGCUUCCCGUUUCACACUUUUAGGAGUAAAGUGGGGAAAUCAUGUUUUCUUUUAUAUACUAACAUUUUUCUAUUUUUCUGGUGAAAUAUGACUUGAUGUGCAGAGGGCUCCUGCUUUUAUAUCAGAAUUGCUUCAGAUUAUACCAAAUGCACAUUACUUCAAGAGAGGAACCUAUGAUUUAAAAAAGAUUGUAGAAUAUGCAAAUAAAAAGGACUUCACAUCUAUUGUAGUUGUACACACCAAUCACAGGGAACCAAGUAGGUGGU